GAUGAACGCUGGCGGCGUGCUUUACACAUGCAAGUCGAACGAAGCUACCCAAAGGAAGUUUUCGGAUGGAAUUUAGGUAGACUUAGUGGCGGACGGGUGAGUAACGCGUGGAUAACCUGCCUUAUACAGGGGGAUAACGGAGAGAAAUUUCCGCUAACACCGCAUAAGACCACAGCACCGCAUGGUGCAGGGGUAAAAUAUUUAUAGGUAUAAGAUGGAUCCGCGUCCGAUUAGCUAGUUGGUGAGGUAAAGGCCCACCAAGGCGACGAUCGGUAGCCGGCCUGAGAGGGUGAACGGCCACAUUGGGACUGAGACACGGCCCAAACUCCUACGGGAGGCAGCAGUGGGGAAUAUUGGACAAUGGGGGAAACCCUGAUCCAGCGACGCCGCGCGAGUGAAGAAGUAUUUCGGUAUGUAAAGCUCUAUCAGCAGGGAAGAAAAUGACGGUACCUGACUAAGAAGCCCCGGCUAACUACGUGCCAGCAGCCGCGGUAAUACGUAGGGGGCAAGCGUUAUCCGGAUUUACUGGGUGUAAAGGGAGCGCAGACGGCAAUGCAAGUCUGAAGUGAAAGGCGUGGGCUCAACCCAUGAACUGCUUUGGAAACUGUAUAGCUUGAGUGUCGGAGGGGUAAGCGGAAUUCCUAGUGUAGCGGUGAAAUGCGUAGAUAUUAGGAGGAACACCGGAGGCGAAGGCGGCUUACUGGACGACCACUGACGUUGAGGCUCGAAGGCGUGGGGAGCAAACAGG
rnacentral:rRNA from 1 species